rnacentral:tRNA from 1 species
GGGCCUUUAGCUCAGUUGGUAGAGCGCCACGUUUACACCGUGGAAGUCGUCGGUUCGAGCCCGGCAGGGCCCACC